UACUUGCACGCCCAACUCGCAAGACAUAUGCUCCCCGCCGCCGCCGCGAGAAACAUCACCCCAGCAACCGCCUUUGUUGCCGAGGAGGACACGAGCACUUGGAGGACGUGGUGUAGCGGGACGCAAGAGUUCCAGUGCCCCAACGACACGAGCACCGGUGCCAGGCCGUAGUUGACAUCUCACGGCAGAUCAGGACGGCCAUGCGGACAUGGGAUGAUGCGGGAGACUUUGCGGCUGAAGCAGACAGUAGCUGCGUUCGAGGUCAAGCUUACAUCGCCACCAUGCAGAACCUCACCCUUGCUCUCUCCCUGUAGCAAGCCGGUCCGAGACGUCCAUGCAUGGCACGGAUUGGCAAGAAGACAUGCCCAAGCAUCCGACCUUGCGGAGCUACUAUGUGUAGAAGGUCACGGUGUUUAUCCCCCAAUCUGCGCAGACCAGAAUCGUCGGCUGAAAGCUACACGCUUGCUGUGACGAUCGGUCGGUCAUCUUCCACCUCGAUGACGGGAUAGGACUCGAUGCACGUUAUUGCUGGCUGCCCCUCCAUUCUUCAGACGCCAUUAGAGGCCACCGGAGCAGGUAGGUAACGCCGCCGGUGAGGAUGUCGGCGUCGAUGCGCGAAGACGAGGGUGGAUCAGCGUGAGAAUGGGGAACAUGCAACCUGGAAUUGCUAUCCACUUGCAAGAGGAGGCUUCGUUGUCUUCUUCAUCUGCGGCGAUGGAUAGGCCGCCUGCUCGUCGCAUGGGACCUGUUACGGUAACAUCCUAUUUUUAAUCAGUAGUUCUAGAUGUCGUAGUGUGAUGGACAGUGCACUGGAUCAGGUUGCAUUUUCUGCGCGUGGGAUCCACCCUUGUAUUAUGGUUCUUGAUGAAUCCGAACGAAAUUCCAGGUUCACUGAAAACACGAUAAAAAGCAUGUAAAAAAACUUUGAUUAAGUGUGCUUUUAGAAGCAAAAAAUCGCAUCGUAAAACCUCUCUCAUGAAUGUAGUAUAUACCUUGGGCCAGUGUAGUCCUUGACCAUACGCAAUAUGGUGUUCAGCAGCGUCUAGGCCCGUUAUUAUUUGCAGGAAUCUUUCUUUAGGAAGAAAAAGGUAAGCUGGCCUGUCAUCACGAUUUGAACGCCAAGAAACGAGACUAGUCCAGAAAAGGAAUCUGGUAGAGCCGGCCGGGCAAUCUCCUGCUGCUCGUCUGCUGACCCCAAUAUAUACGUCGCACAGAUGUGAUCAGUGGUACUAUAGAUGGAGUGGCCUCGUCUGCCUUUCUCUAUUUUUUUAUUUAACAUGGACCGACAUGUCAAGUCCACGUCUCCGUUGCUAGGGGAAUCACACCUACAGGCACAUGUCGUUCUAGGCCCGUUUAGCGAUUAGCAAGCCUGCUAAUAGUUUUAUCGCUACAGUUCUACAGCACAUAUCCCCACGAGCUACUUUCUGGACCAACGGUGAGAUAAUGGGGUGCCUUAGGCACCCGGGUUCUAAAAAUCCGUUCUCUCUUUCUUUUCAUGCGUUUGUUUGUCAAACACCGCUAGGAAAAAAUGGAAGAUGGGAGACACCUUCAAGCGGUUGGAAGAGCUAGACGCAGCGGGUGGCUUCGAAAAUGGUUGGAGUGCGAGGGGCUAGGCCAUGUUUCUCUAGCGUCCUCUGCCUGUACCUCCUUUUGUCUCGAGUGCUUGGGUGCAUAUCUGUGGGGCUAUGAGUGUUUCAGAGAUGGGGAAUAAUCGCAAAUGCCGAACACAGAAGCCAAAAAUUUAGGUAAAUUAUAUCAAGCACAUUUUAUGAUAAUAUCUAAACAUGAUCGGAGUUUCUUUAUCGACCGUCGAUCUGGAUAAUGUUGUUUGUAUUAUGUAGAUGCAAACAUGUUAUAAAGAGCAAUAUUAGAAUGCAUGUUGCUCGGAAAUUAUUUAGCUGCAUGAGUUGCAAGGAAAUGUGGAGCUAAAUAUUUUGCAAAUGAAGUCAUGUGAUAAUCUUGGUUAUUUUUCACAAAAUCUUUACCAAACUCUUCAUUCCAGAAACAAUUUAAUGGAAUUGGUACAAGAUGUCUUUGUUAUUUGCAAGAUUCAGGCAGAGUGCCCUCCUGAACAAUAAACUGUUGAGAUCUCAGGAUCAUUCAUAUUGCACUCUUUUCCUUUAUGAAUCUUUUCUAAAUGGUUUCUCAUAGAAGGGUUUUAAUGAGGCAAUAGUAAUACAAGCAUCGGGAUAUGACAAUUUUCUACUUAUUUUCCCAUUGGGUUUUUGUGAGGAGUUUUUCAUGGCAUAUUAUGUAUAUUUUCUCAUAUUUUUUUCACAGGGUUUUUGGAGGAACAUUUUUCCAAGAAUGACAAAGGUACAUGUACAGGCGUAGAUUAGGGGAGUGUUGAGAUUUAAUUAGCACACACUAAUUAAGAGAUAGUCCACACUUAUAAUCGACAUGUGGUUUCUCUGUGAGGCGGGCACGCACCCCCUAUUCUUUAGGAAACCGACGCAUUGCUUCGUUGCAUCCCUACGAAACGUCGCGCCUAUGCGACGCAUCUCCGCAUGGGUAUAUAUUUGUACUCCAUCAUUACCAAUGAAAAAGGUUAUUACUGAUCAUUCAAACUGUUUCACCACAAUAAUUAUGUUCGUUUCGUUGUUCGUUUAGUAGCUUCCAAGACUAUCUAGUAGGCAACCCGACGACAAGUGAAAGCCUUGAUGAAAGCUCUAAAGUGUCAUAUGCUCAUGAAUUUGGCAUUAUAUCAGAUCACUUAUAUGAGGCAAUUAAACACAUCUAGAUCCAUUAUGCCCAUAUAUCUGCAUGGACCUGACAUUUCAGAACUUGGAGUGGUAUGCAUGUUAUUCUCUCAUUCUGGAUACGUUCAACUAGUUUGGGUAGCGAUUUAACAAUAGGUUAUUAUGUUUGUAGUCAUGUAAUCUUAUUAUCUUCUGGUGAUGCCUUUUUCUUUCUUUCUGCAUGUUAAACCAAUGCAUUACAUUUAUUUGGAUACUUUAAUUAUUAUGGAUGUAUGCCUCAAAAUGAUGCAACAGUCGAGCAAACUGUGUGUCUUUUGUGGUCAAGAUGGAAGUAUUGAUCAUAUGUUUUUACAUUGCUCGAUUGUUAGGCUUAUCUAGAGUUUGUUAAAAUGUGCCUUUGAUCUUAAUUCAAUUAUGUUAAUUUGCGUGACUGCUUUGGAAGCUAGCUUAGAGGCUUCUCGAAGGAUAGCAGAAAAUUGAUUUUGGUUGGCAUUGUUGCGAUGUUUUGGACUAUUUUGAGAUCGAUGUACAAAAGAUAUAAUUUUCGAAAGAAAAAUAAUCAAUGAUCCUAUGAUAUUGAUUAAACGAUGUGCUCGUGGAUUAUGGGAUGGUCCAUUUUGUGGAUAAAGGAGGCAUGGCAAAAGGUGUUGAUGCCGGGGGCAAAGCUCAUCGAGCGAGUAGCUAGUGAGGUCUACCGCGCUUUGAUGGUUGGAGGCCGGGAGUCAUGCAGAUGUGUGUCAGAUGUUGCUGUAUUUUCCUUGAAGACCUCUACUGGUGUGGUGAGCUGCCUUACCAUGUUCCAGUUUGUUUUGCGGACCUCCUUUCUAGUCCCUAGCUAUAAUGAGCUUGGUCUAUUGCUGUGGCAUUUCUUUUCAUUGUGGCUUGAAGUCUGGGGUUCCAGCCUUUGUUGGCUCGAACCCUAUAUGCUACUCAUGCAUGGUCGUUCUGCGCUGUGGAUAUUAGCAUCCUAACGAUGUAAAUAGCUAGUCAGUCUUUUGAGUCGCUAGUAGUUGUAGAUCUACAUUCUGCUGUACAAACCAGAUGAUUUCUUUAUCGGAAACACUUCGGUCCACCUGGGUGAUAACAACGCUCACGUCGACCGCCUCCACAACCAUUAGAUUCGCUUUUGAACA